GAUGAACGCUGACAGAAUGCUUAACACAUGCAAGUCUACUUGAAUUUGGGUUUUUAACUUAGAUUUGGGUGGCGGACGGGUGAGUAACGCGUAAAGAACUUGCCUCACAGCUAGGGACAACAUUUAGAAAUGAAUGCUAAUACCUAAUAUUAUGAUAAUAGGGCAUCCUAUAAUUUUGAAAGCUAUAUGCGCUGUGAAAGAGCUUUGCGUCCCAUUAGCUAGUUGGAGAGGGAACCGCUCCACCAGGCCAAUGAUGGGUAGCCCGGCCUGAAAAAGGUGAACGGCCCCUUUGGGACUGGAAACACUGCUCUUUACUUCCCACGGGAGGCAG
rnacentral:rRNA from 1 species